rnacentral:rRNA from 1 species
UACGGAGGGUGCGAGCGUUGUCCGGAAUCACUGGGCGUAAAGGGCGCGUAGGCGGCGCGAGCAGUCGGCGGUGAAAGCCCGGGGCUCAACUCCGGGUCGGCCGUCGAUACUCUCGUGCUCGAGCACUGUAGAGGCAGGUGGAAUUCCGGGUGUAGCGGUGGAAUGCGUAGAGAUCCGGAAGAACACCGGUGGCGAAGGCGGCCUGCUGGGCAGUAGCUGACGCUGAUGCACGAAAGCUUGGGGAUCAAACAGG